ACACCCUUCUGAACUGCAAGUUGAUCUCUUUCACUAGUUUUUCUGCUGCUUCCUCAAAAUCAUAUGGUUUGAACAUCACCUUUUCGUCUACUUGUUCAAGGAAUUCCUCUACCCAUGCUUCUGAGCCUUCUGAUACCAAGUCGCUAUCGCAAUCACCGUCGUUGGGUCCAUCUUCAACCUCUUCUAAUGGGAGAUUCAAGUCUAGGAAGGACAUUGAUGAUGAUGAUGUCUUCUUCAGCUCAGUGGAUUCGUCG
rnacentral:misc_RNA from 1 species